CCUAAUCCAGCAGGAGAGACCAGACUCAACUGUACCGAGCUGUGCGUCCAUGAAGAGUGACCAGUCUAUAGAUCCACCUACCCUUUCCAGAGAGAGAACCUCUUCUACUAAACUAAAGGCACAUCAGAAGAGACCAGUCUCACCUGCACACAGCUGUGUGUCCGUGAAGAGUGACCAGUCUAUAAAUCAUCCAAUCAUGUUCAAAGGUGGAGACUCUUCUACUAAACUACAGUAAGCGAGCAUCAAGAUCCUCGACAUAACUAGUGUAAUUGGUUAGGUAUGCAUGUCAUUCUCCAAUUAGAAACUUAUAAAAUAAUUAGUGAAAUAAAAUAAAGUGUAAAGAUUGUAUGCUCAGUGACACCACAACAUCUACUUAAGGUCGACAUAGAUAUUUAUUGUCUCUGUGUUUGUCCAGAGUUCAUCAGGAGAGAUCAGAGUCACCUGUUCCCAGCUAUGUGUCCAUGAAGAGUCACCAGUCUAUGGAUCCACCUGUAAUUUUCAGAGAAAGAGACUACUAAAACAAAGAUGGGGCAUGAAAAUGUCUCAAUUCAGUCAUUGUCACUUGUUGCUUUUUUUCAACAGACAAGUGACUCUGGUCUAUGGAUCAUCCAAUCCUCUGAGUUGGAAACAUUACUACUGGACAAAGGGUCGACCAGGAGAGACCAGACUUGGAUGUUCUUCAUGGGCAAGGAGAGGAGACCUGUCAAAUCUUCCAUGCACUACAGUCACAGAGAGCCAACACUGAGUCUUAGUCUAUGGUGGCAGCUAACUCACCUAAGGGCUCUGAACCCAGCAGCAGUGGCUCUGGUCCAAACAGCAUGCAGGAGCACUUAAGGAAGAAUAAGGACAUUUUAGGGAAGCAGCACAGUCCCAUUGAUUACCUUAGUAUGGGGAACCUGGUGCUAAAUCACUCAUAGACAACCUGAUUCUGGGUCAGGGUUUCUUACAUAGCAGAGCAGCUCACUCGCUGCAAUUUAUUGAAAUUCAGCCCUCGAUCCAAGUUUUCUUGGGGACGGAAAGUGUCUUCCUCCACCAUCCUCUAUCUUUACUUACGGGUUACCAGGUGCACGCAGAAGGGUCAGGUGCCAGAGGCCAGACACAGGGUGGAAGAGAGCCCAGGCAGGCUGGUAGAAGGCGUAAGACAUUGACAUUGGGCUCUGGAUAGGUAGGGGGCAAGGUGGUGGUCGCUCAUCCCCCCGGGCCCAUCCUUUGGUGGGACUGAGAGUCAGGUUGGGACUCGCUGUGGAAGUCAAAGGAUCACCAGGUGCACGAGGAGGCCUCCCUCAAGGCGGGGGGAACUCAGAGUCUAAGCAGGGGCAGGGGCAGGGGCUGUAGGCAGCACUCUGGCUGUGAGUGCUGUCCCCAGGUGCACAGAGCAUUUUUCGGGUGCACGUGGUGCACGUGGUUCCUGACAGCGGGACUAUAGACGUCUUAGAGUACAACUUACUCCCUGGAAUUACUAAGGCCAAGGGAGACGGGUGUUGACCGGGUAGGGAGAGUAAGUGUGGAGGCCUGGAGGUCUGUUGUUCCAAGGAGUAAGCUAUACACUCUCAGGCCCAGGGAGACGGCAGGCAGGCAGGAGGGCAGGGAGUGUAGGCCUACAGUUGUGGCCAAAAGUUUUGAAAAU